rnacentral:lncRNA from 1 species
AGGGGCGGGGAGGCAGAAGGGCAGCUCGGAAAAAGCACCCGGAAAAGAAAUGCGGAAUAAAGCAGGGCAGCCGGGAGCUCCGCCUCGGGCUUGGCCAAGGCAGGGUGCUGCGGAGAGGUGGAAGGGGAGGGGACUGCGCCGAGGCGGCGUUUCAGGGUGCCGCUGAGGUGAGGGCUCGGCCGGGUCCUCAGGAGCUACCGGACUCUGCUUGUGCCUCGUGGCGGCGUCGUUUCACUUCUCGCUCUCGAGGGUUAACACAGCGUUUCUGCGUAGAUAAUCGUUUACUGCGGAGUUUUGCCCCUUUGAAGUUUGCUGGGGGGGGGGGUCUGAUCCCAUAUGUAUGAUCCCGCAGUCCUGUUCCCAAAUCCCUCUCCGGAAGAGGCUGCGUGUCACUGUUCCCCUGUUAUGUCCCUCUCUGACCACGAGGUAAACUUCCUGAACAUCGGAGUUGGCAAACCGCUUAAUCUGAGCGGGGUCCCCGAGGGCCUGUCGGCAUCAAGCUGAAACCUCAGCUGAUGAGCGCCAGGGUCUGCCCGAGCUACCACCUUCCAAGAGCAGUUUGGUGCAAAUUUGUUUUUGGAAAAGGAGAUUCAUCUGUGUCUACACUUCAUAGAGAAGGUGUUUACAUAGUCUAGCUGAACGUGUAAGGGUCCCAACAGUCAAAUCAUGCUGUGGUUGACCUGGCUUCCUCAAAGUUGUAUUUUUACAGUUUCAUUUGGUUCUGGAUCGUGCAGACUCUGCAGAGAGGAGCUGAAAGGCUGUCAAGGAGACAUGCAGGGAGAUGCUGUACUUUUUAUGGAUCUUUUAUGUGCUCUUUUGCCCAAAGAGAGCACAAGCAGGCAAUGGUUUGACCUCACAAAUGAAAGAACAUUUACAGCAAAAUCAAGUCAUAAGAAAGCCCCAUUCUGCAAACUAGGAGUCAGCUUAGCUCUGUUUUGCUGUCGCAUCUGCCUGCCAAGGGAGACUUGCAGAUCUCCUUCAGCCACCUGGGAUAGAGCUGCUGGAAGAUAG